GUAAGGAAUAUUGGUCAAUGGACGCAAGUCUGAACCAGCCAUGCCGCGUGAAGGAUGAAGGUCCUCUGGAUUGUAAACUUCUUUUAUCUGGGACGAAAACGGGAUUUUUAUCUCAAUUGACGGUACCAGAGGAAUAAGCACCGGCUAACUCCGUGCCAGCAGCCGCGGUAAUACGGAGGGUGCGAGCGUUAUCCGGAUUUACUGGGUUUAAAGGGUGCGUAGGUGGGCUUAUAAGUCAGUGGUGAAAUCUCCGAGCUUAACUUGGAAACUGCCGUUGAUACUAUAGGUCUUGAAUUAUCUGGAGGUAAGCGGAAUAUGUCAUGCAGCGGUGAAAUGCUUAGAUAUGACAUAGAACACCAAUUGCGAAGGCAGCUUACUACAUAUAAAUUGACGCUGAGGCACGAAAGCGUGGGGAUCAAACA
rnacentral:rRNA from 1 species